rnacentral:pre_miRNA from 1 species
UGUUAUAUCAGGCAUUAUAAAUAAUUCCUAGGCAAUAUUUAGAAUGGCUGCAAGCCAUUUUUAGAAUUGCCUGAGAAUUAUUUACGAUACUCUGCUCAC